AAUAAUAUAUGAUACAAAACAUUUUAAAUACUGUUAUACAUCAAUAACUAACAACCUCUAAUCUUAAGGCCUCACAACCACAAGUCUAUUUCUUGCUGACAUUACAUGUCUUUCACAGUUGACUACAACUCCAUGUCACAUCCUCUUCAUUUUGUGAUCCAGGGUGAAGGAGCUGCCUUUAUCUGUAAUGUUGUCAUUCUUGUGUCAGAGGAAAAAGAGAAGACAAUGAAAACAUGAGACUCAAAGCUUCUGCUUCAUAGUGUCACUGAAACUGAAACUAUGUCAGGCAGCCAGCUCCGCUGCCACCAAUACAGUUUCCUCCGGUCCACAAAGGUGCUGAUCGUUUGCUGGAAUACCGAGACCAGGCAAAUUUGGUUCUUGGCCGCCACCACAGCAGCAGGAUGGAGUUUCCUUCUCGUUUCCAUUCUCCUGCUCCUCCCCUGUAAUUCAGAAGGGAACAGAGAAGCAUGUGAGAAUGAAUGUCAAGUGGCAGACAAUAACAAAUACAAGUAGCUAAGAAUCAGCUUAAUAAGAAAUGUGCAAAGACCCUUAUGAAGAAAACUAAAAUACUGUUUAAGGGCACCAGAGGAGACCUGAACAAAUGGGAAAACAUCCCAUGGUUUUGGAUCAGAAGACUCAGCAUUAGCUCUUUCUCUGGUUACCAUGUCCUGAGCUUCUUUCUUCCACCACACUCUUCUACCAUGAUGUUCAGCCUCAUCUCUGGCCCAGAGCAAUGAAGUCGGCUGAUUAUGGACUGAACCUCUGAAACUGUAAGCCAAAAUAAACUUCUCCUUCUCUAAGAAUAAAGGACUCAGCAUCAAAAAGAGGUCA